GUCUCACUGUGACACGAGUCUAAUCGCUGGGUCCACAGUGAGGUGCCCUUGUUGUCCUCCUCUGGACGCCCAUGAAAAGUCAACCUGGCUACUGGGACUGUGUGGGGACCCCUGACCCUGAGGGGAAGACUCACGCGACUUUCCUGUCUCGCGUGUCAGUACAUUAGAAGGCCCCCCGUUGGUAAACAUCACUGCACACCUGACUGCCCUUGACCCACCCCCUGCCCCGCACCCUGAGCUAUGCUGUGUGGAGUGGAAUAGAUUGGCUUCUGGACACACAAGUCCAAUUAUUGGGACUAACUGGGUUUUGUGUUUUUGUUUGGAAAGACUUACUGGGUCCAUCCCUAUGGCACUGAACAUAACAUGGGGGGCAGUCCUGUACUGUGACCCCUGACCCCUGACUAGGCCACCAGAAUGUUCCUUUUACAGCCAGAGCGCUUCUCCCUAUGGGCGUGGCUCUGGGUGUGUGAGAACCAGGUGAUUUUCUGGAUCGUAUGGGUGGUCUCUGGAUGCAGUGGCCCCUACAUAGCUGACCCCAAGGAUAUUGCCCAAGGGGGGCGGACCAAGAUUGUAAGGGCAUGCAAUAUAUGAAGGGACGGAGUGUCUGGUUGGGCCACUCAGGAUGGCUGUUCUCUUACUCUCUGUCCAUCCCCAGCCCGACCCAUGUCUGCCUCACCUGGACCCUAUGCCCUUGACCGACCUUCCCACAGACUUGGCUCCUGGCCCAGCUGGAGAUUGUUCUUACCAAAGGGGCAGUGAGGGCUGUGCCCCUCCCUGGUUUCCCUGGUGACCAAUGAGCCCACCUGACCCGAGUUCCCCCAUAACUGGCAACCUCCCCUCCACCUUAGGAGCGAAGCCUGCGGCCACGGUCUACCCAUCAUCCACUGCAUACGGUGGGGUGUGGAUCCAGGACCUGGCUUCGGACGGGUAUAAAGAAACCCUUCCCCUCAAGCUAAUUAUGAUCUACAGCAAUUUGGUAAAUUAUACCUUUGUGAAGCAGAACUGAAAUAUUUCACGUUCCUCUGUACCUGAUCCCUCCAGACUGGAAACUCUAAGGUUCCCAGCAGCUUUAUCAGAUAAAUUAAGAAAGCCACCUCGCAGCUGGACUGCAGGCAUCGAAAGGGCCCCUGCACUGGACUGGUCCAUAGAGAGGACUGCUGACCUCAAAACCAUCUUAAAACAGUGCUCGCGUGGAAGAGAAACUACACCAGGAUGAGAAGAUGACGACAUCAGGAGCAGACAGCUGGACCAAGAUGCUGGACCUGACUAGUAGGAUUUAUGGUGUUUUCUUGCUUUCUUGGACUUCUGCAUAUGAAUCAAAUGCUUUUCUAUUAUGAGCAUGAUCCUAUGCUAAUUUAAAAAAUCCAGUUGUUGCAGUUGUGGCCAGUUACCUGUGUCCAGUACUUGUAGGUUACUUGGUGGAUUUCUCCCCUCCAAGUCUCUGAUUAGUUAGCCCUUAGGAAAUUAUUACUAGGUUAGGGUUUUCUCACCUGACCAAUUACUAUUACCUGCUCUGAUCAUGACCAUAAAUACGAGUUUUCUUUUAUCUAAGUCUCAAAACCUGUGACCUCCUGUUUAUUAGAAGGAAACCUCCCACAAUUGUGGGAUGGAUUUAUGUGGUUGACACCAGGCUUAUGGUCAUUUAAGUUUAUGUUGAGGCCAGUCGUACUAAGGAUGAUCAGCUUAGUAACAUGAGGGAAUCCGGCUGGGUGCCUUAUGAGCAAUGCUUACAUAUUGUUACCCUUAGAGAUUGUGAUUGGUUUAGAACAGACUGGGUCAGACAACUACAGAGUCUCUGGGUUGCACCUAAUGGAAUUCAGUGGAUUUGUGGUACUAACUCAUGGCCUUGGCUUCCACUGGGAUGGACAGGAAGAUGCACCCAAGGAUUCCCUUGGACCGAAGGCCAUAUUGAUUAACAAUUUAAAGAUGACCCCAGCCAGUCCACCACUGGUAUGAGCCCAAUGGGUCAAGAGAUCUGUAUUCUGCUGGUAGGACCAUUUAGCAGCUAUUUCUGUGCCUUCGAUAGGAUUGGAGAAUAUAAUGAGCCAUACUGAAGACUUAACAAAACUCACUCAACAUAUUUUAAAUGAUAGCAGCUAGGCUAUUAGCCUCCUGAAUUCUGAGGUCUCUAUGCUGCUUUAAAUAACCCAACUCUCUAGUUUGUUUGUUUUUGUCUUUUGUCCUAUUAGGUCUGCACCUGUAGCAUAUGGAGGUUCCCAGGCUAGGGGUCGAAUUGGAACUGCAGCUGCUGGC